rnacentral:rRNA from 1 species
UACGUAGGGGGCAAGCGUUGUCCGGAAUCAUUGGGCGUAAAGCGCGUGUAGGCGGCCCGGUAAGUCCGCUGUGAAAGUCGGGGGCUCAACCCUCGAAUGCCGGUGGAUACUGUCGGGCUAGAGUGCGGAAGAGGCGAGUGGAAUUCCUGGUGUAGCGGUGAAAUGCGCAGAUAUCAGGAGGAACACCGAUGGCGAAGGCAGCUCGCUGGGACGGUACUGACGCUGAGGCGCGAAAGCGUGGGGAGCGAACAGG